GUGUGUGUAUACGUACGUGCUACUCUGAGGAUUUCUUAUCUGUCCAGUGCAGCUUGUUGUUUGUGCCUCCCAGUCAGGCUGCUAUCUGUAUAAUACUCUCAUGUCACUGAAGUGAAGAACGUGCCCUGCUCUCGACUCAGGAUCUGCUCAACACCAUCACUGUGUUUGUUUAGAUCAGGAACCAUUUCUUGUGUCAAAAGAGAAGAUAGUUUUCUUCCAAUUUUCUCGAGUUCCGUGUGUUUAUUUGAAUCAUGCAGCAGCUGCAUCUGCUGAAGUCUGAGGGCCAAAUUCUGUCUGAUGGUUUUGGUCAACGAAGUGAGGAACUUCAUGGCACACAAGCUGAGCGAUGGACAUCUUGGAGUGACGGGGCAGAACUUCCAGUACUGACUCAACCCGGUCUCGGGGUAACGACCACAACGGUGACCACCAUCACGCAGACGGGGGGAGACUGGAGUACGGGGCUGUUUGAUGUGUGUGACGACGUCGGCACCUGUUUAGUCGGUGUGUGUAUGCCGUGUUGUCUGGAGGUGAGUUUGGCUCAUCAGUAUGGAGAGUGUUUGUGUUUGCCUCUGCUACCUGCCUCCACUUUCGCGAUGCGGGUCGCCAUUCGAGAGCGUUUCAAAAUCAGGAUUUGGAUAUUGAUACGCCUACCUCCUGGAGAGUGUUGUUCACUUGGUUGGCUGUUGUGAAGGGGUUUCUCUUCACCAUAGAAAUUAUUCUGCGAUCAUCCACCACUGUUGUCUUCUCUUAAGGAUGGCUUGUUUCACCUGCAUGGAGAACUCCUUUGACCGCAUGUUUUCUUCACAGCAAAAUCUUCCAAAUGCAAGCACCACACCUCAAAUCAACUCCAGGCCUUUUAUCUGCUUAAUUGAGAAUGACAUCACGAAGGAAUUGCCCACACCUGUCCAUGAAAUAGCCUUUGAGUCAAUUGUCCAAUUACUUUUGGUCCCUUUUUAAAAACAGGGUGGCACAUGUUAAGGAGCUGAAACUCCUAAACCCUUCAUCCAAUUUUAAUGUGGAUUCCCUCAAAUGAAAGCCGAAAGUCUGGACUUUGUCCAUGUCCAUUAUAUAACUAUAACUUGAAUGUUUCAGUAAACAGGUAAAAAAAAAAAAAAAAUUUGUGUCAGUGUCCAAAUAUAUACGGUAUAUGGUCCUAACUGUAUACAGUAUAUAAUCAGGUCCUCAUUUAACUCCAUAUGUUAAAAUAAUUUAAAUGCUAAUCAUCUCUUGUGAGUAACCAGGGAUUUUUAUGAAAGUCACUAUUUGACAGGUGUAAGCUGAUGUUCCGUUUAUUUUUUUACAUCUUUCCAGAUGUUGCAUGGUCGUGUUAGUGUGCUCACUGCCCCAUGUAGCUCCAGAGUUAUUGCUCCUAGUGGUCAAACAUAGGAACUGCAACAAGCACUAAUAAAUAGAGACCCAUUGGGGUGCAACUCACACUGCCCCACACUGCUCACUUUCUGAACAUAGGGUUAUGUUUUUUAUGCAAGUUGGCUAGUUUAUUUAAAAAUCCUCAGAGGCCUCCAAGAUCUGGAAGAAACCUCAUAUCAGGAAACACAGCAGCUGUAUGAAACACAGUUAAAGAUACUCUGUCUAAAAACAAGCCAUUGAACUUUGCACUGGGUGACCUUUAGGUUUGUCGAUUCUUGACUCCUGAUUAUAGGAUUACUCUAAACAUUUACUAGAUUAUAGCCUGGAGCAGAAGUCAAGUGUGACAGCAUCUCAACUUCAGGUUGUUUGUUAGCUACAAACCCAAACUCGCAGACAAAUGAAACUUGCUGUAUAAUAAAUAACUAUUUCUCGGUGUUAUUUUUACAAGAAGACAUAAUAGUCCUGUUUUGUGUGUGUGUGUGUGUGUGUGUGC